CCGUCGUGGUUCUGAAGUGGGUGGGGCCAUGGUAACCCUAAAGUAUUGAUUCUUUGUCUAUUGUAUCAGCGAAUGACCCUCUCUAGAAGUGACCAGACAUCUCUUUGUGCUCUCUUUUCGUAAGUAAAGUUAAGCCCAAGGGGAAAUACACAAACCCAGGGAGUGAGAUGGCUUUUUAAGGAUAUAAGUCGUUGUAGAGUGAUGGGAAGAAAAGAAAUGGAUGAAGGAUAAUCUAGAGAUGAAUUUGAUUCCAGUGUAUUCGUUAACAAAAUUAUCUAGUAAGACCUUCGUUUUUGAUGAUGUUAUCUCGAAUGAAUUUUGUUUUUAUGAGUAGUCAACUAAGGAAAUGUUAAAUUAAGAGGAAUUGCAAUCUCUGAUGUGACAUUUGUGUGGGACAUAAAGUUAAAUUGGGAGAAAAAUACGUAUCUUUAAAGUAUAAUUGUAUCUUUACUAAACACGGCUUUUCUCUCUCCUCUUUUUAAAGGUGACCAUCGAUGGUUUUUUCCUCCACAAUUCCGUGUCCAUGUAAAAAUGACUUGUAAUAUAGCCAAGAAAAGACGGAAUUUUCAUUCCAACUUAAGGAGUGGGGCUGUUAUUAUUAAUGGCUUUAUUUAUCAUGACCUAAGCAAUGCAUAUGUUAGCACUGGAUCAUUAUCUGUUAUGUUAGGAAUUUUGUAUUUAGUUUAAUUACAUACUCUGUAUAUUUUAUUAAUUAAUUAAAAGGACCCAGCAUUCAUUGUACUAGUUUCGAAAAACGGACAUAAUUUUAAAUGAGAAUACAGGAAAUUUGUAUACAGAAUGUUUUUUGCUUUCAAAGGCACUGUAGUUUUGUUGUUUUAGUUAUUAGGUUUGUGGUUAAGGACUAAAGGAUGGUUUUUGUGCUUUCCUGAAUGCUUUGUUUAAACAAGGAAAUGAAUGUAACUUGUUGCUCAUGUGUGUCCAUUUUGAAAAGCAACAGUGGGAGCUGAGGAGAGCGCACAGUGCCGGCCAUUUCAAGACAAGAUUUUCAGUGGCGUGGCUUAAGAAGGAGUGAUUUGUAUUUAACAUCAAGUAUUUAAGGAUGUCAUUUAUUUAAAGUUCUUGAUUUGUGAUUUGAUGUCGAUGGUAACAAAUGUCUUUAUAAAUAAGCUUGAGUAGCCAGCAAUGUAUGAGAACAUCCAGGAAUGUAUGUUUCAUCUAGAACAUUCUCAUGCUUUGUCCUUAAAAAUAACUAAUGACGAGGUGAUUACUGUAAGAACGGAGGAAACUACUAGACAAGUCUAUUCCAUGCCUAUAGUAUUCAGUAAAACCAACUGGGACUACCCAGAGGGAUUUUUUUUUGAUUAUCAAAAGUUCCUUGCACCAAUUUCCAAUAAAUGAUCAAAACCCGGGGACAAUAAAUGAGACUUAUACAAGGUAGCAGGAAGUUUCACCAAGACUUUGGAGCUGGCAAGAGUGAUCCAGAUGUUACCAAAUUGUCUCAGUUUAUUUAAUCCCACUUUUCAUCUACUUUCUGAGGUAAGAGUCUCCUCCUCCCCACUAUCCACCACACCCUGCUUUCCAACAGUACACCCUUUGCCUCACCAGCAGAUCCUGGAAAUCACAGAGACUUUCUUCCUUCGCAGGUACCCCAGAGCGGCCCCCACCCUCGUUGACUCCGAAGGGCUGCAGCAGCAAUUCAUGUUUUGGAGUAUUGCCAAGGUUCAAAACAUGAAGCGCUGCAACACCCCUUCGUGGGGAAUGUAGAAGGUGGGGACCUGCUGAACAGACCUGUGUGGGUUCUACUAAAAGCCCUAAAGCAGGUAGGUGGGAGGGCAGGGGCUUAGUCUAGUGAGGGUCACUCUACACAGUCCAAGGGCCUGGGUGGGUGUGAAUAGCAAGGUGGCAAUUCACUUGAAGAAGGGACAAGGCAUCCUGUACUCAGCCCAUCCCACUCAGUCGUGCCCUAGCAGCGGGAACAGUACUGCAGUGAGUGUUUGGUGCCCUGGAGUAUUGUUUCCACUGCCUGGGUAAGUCUGGGUCUUCCACAUGGGCACACCCACCAGGUAAGUUUCGGUUAGCCUGCAGCAUAGGCCCCAUGGGAGGGAGACUCUAGAACAGCUCCCAACUAGAGUUGCUGAUCUGUGACUCUGACUGGGUGUGACUGAAAGUGUGUUGUUAGCGCCUCACUUGCUGCUCAGGUAAAAGUGAAUCAACUGGGAAAAAAAAAAAGCACUUCCUGGUCAUCAAGUAGUAUACCACCCACAAGAGCGAAACAAGAAAAUUUGUCCUAAGUCCUCAACAACAAAAUGGAGAAGGGGUCCUUCCAAAAGGAAUAAGAAGGGUUCUGAAGGGCAGGAAGGAUGACUUGAGAAAGUCCCCAUUUCUCUUUGCAGUUUAGGAAAGAUUAAGGGGUCCGUGGGAGUGUCCCUGGAUCUCUUCGUGUCUUGCUGGUGCGGACCCCCAGGUGGUACAAUGAGAGGCAAUGGCCCAACAGGAAGCCUCAGUGAGGCUCUGCAUUUCUAGUCCCCAUUUAUCCCCCUUUCCCAAAGUCAUCACACAAUUCUACAUGGCAGUGGGGACAUGGGGACACCCUUGUCACUGCCUAGAAGUCUCUGAGAAAAUGGCUGCUUUGUGACAUCCCAAACUCUGCUGUGAUUAAUCAUGGCACCUCCGUUUCCCUGAGGAGCCCUUUGAGCCUGGAGUGAAAAAAAAAAACAGGUCAAGAGGCGCCUGGGAACUGGAGAAGAGUGUUAAACUUCUGGAGCAAGACUGUACUUUUCCUGUGAAAAUCACUUUCCAUAAUCUGGAGUAUAGGCAUGUAAAGGACUGUUGGAAAACGGAGUGUGGGUGAAAUCGUGCUGCUUUGUCUUAUUAAAAAGAAAUAAAAUACAUGUACACA
rnacentral:lncRNA from 1 species